CUAUCUACUAUCUAGCGAAACCACAGCCAAGGGAACGGGCUUGGCAGAAUCAGCGGGGAAAGAAGACCCUGUUGAUCUUGACUCUAGUCCGACUUUGUGAAAUGACUUGAGAUGUGUAGAAUAAGUGGGAGCCAUUUUCGGCGCAGGUGAAAUACCACUACUUUUAACGUUAUUUUACUUAUUCCGUGGGGCGGAGACGGGGCAUUGCCCCUGUUUUUGGCCUUAAGACACGUUUCGGCGGG
rnacentral:ncRNA from 1 species